AAAGGUGCAAAUUUAAUAGUUUUUUCGUAUAAUGAUACUUUAGUUGAGGCAAAUAAAAUUUGGAUUUAAACUAGGAUUAGAUACCCUAUUAUACUUGGAUAAAAAUCUAUGGCUUGAGUAUUAAAAGAUAUGUUCUUGAAAUUUAAAGGAUUUGGCGGUAAUUUAGUCUUGUCAGGGGAACCUGUUUUUUAAUCGAUAAACCACGAAUAAUCUUACUUAAGUUUGUAUACCGUCAUUAUCAGAUAAUUUUUAAAGAAUAAAAUUAUUGUUCAGGUUAUUUCGGUUAAAUUAGAUCAAGGUGCAGCUAAUAGCUAAGUUAAAAUGGGUUACAAUAAAAGCUUAUUUAUAAUGAAAAGAUGAUCUUAGAAGGUGGAUUUGAUUGUAUUUAGUUUUAAUAAGACUGAGAGAUAUAAGCUCUAAAUUAUGUACAUAUUGCCCGUCGCUUUC
rnacentral:rRNA from 1 species